rnacentral:rRNA from 1 species
CCUACGGGCGGCAGCAGUGAGGAAUAUUGGUCAAUGGACGAGAGUCUGAACCAGCCAAGUAGCGUGAAGGAUGACUGCCCUAUGGGUUGUAAACUUCUUUUAUAUGGGAAUAAAAUGUUCCACGUGUGGGUUUUUGUAUGUACCAUAUGAAUAAGGAUCGGCUAACUCCGUGCCAGCAGCCGCGGUAAUACGGAGGAUCCGAGCGUUAUCCGGAUUUAUUGGGUUUAAAGGGAGCGUAGGUGGAUUGUUAAGUCAGUUGUGAAAGUUUGCGGCUCAACCGUAAGAUUGCAGUUGAAACUGGCAGUCUUGAGUACAGUAGAGGUGGGCGGAAUUCGUGGUGUAGCGGUGAAAGGCUUAGAUAUCACGAAGAACUCCGAUUGCGAAGGCAGUUCACUGGACUGCAACUGACACUGAGGCUCGAAAGUGUGGGUAUCAAACAGGAUUAGAUACCCCUGUAGUC